rnacentral:misc_RNA from 1 species
AAGUCGUAACAAGGUCUCCGUUGGUGAACCAGCGGAGGGAUCAUUACGAGAGUGUCACCGCUCCCAACCCACUGUUUACCUACCCGUCCACCGUGCUUCGGCAGGCAGUCCUGUGGGACAGGGCCUCGCCCCCGCGAGGGGGUGCCUGCCGCUGGCCAACCAAAAAUUCUAGCUGUUUUUGUACCAUCUGAGUCUUCCACAAAUAAACAAAACUUUCAACAACGGAUCUCUUGGUUCUG